rnacentral:rRNA from 1 species
AUGAAGGACCUUGGUGUGGCUGAUGUUAUCUUGAACAUCAAGCUAUUGAGAGAUGAUGAGGGUGGGAUUACACUUCUGCAAUCCCAUUAUGUUGAGAAGGUGUUGAGUCGCUUUGGAUAUUCGGACUACAAACCAUCUCAAACACCAUAUGAUCCUAGUGUCUUGGUCCGAAAGUUCGAAGGCACAGCUAAGGAUCAACUGAGAUACUCUCAAAUCAUUGGUUCACUCAUGCACCUAGCAAGUGCAACGAGGCCUGACAUCGCGUUUGCUAUGAAGGCCACAACGGGGUAUAUGUUUACUCUUGGAGGUGGUGUGGUUUCCUGGAAGUCUUGCAAGCAAACGAUCUUAACAAGAUCGACAACGGAAGCAGAACUAACAGCAUUGGACACAUCGGGUGGCGAAGCAGAAUGGCUUCGAGAUCUGUUGAUGGACUUGCCAGUGGUUGAGAAGCCGGUUCCGGCCAUCCUUAUGAACUGCGACAAUCAAACAGCGAUCUUUGGAGGAACACACCUAUAUGAGCCCGACUGCUGGUCACAGUCUAUGAGAUUGGGGUGA